rfam:Rattus norvegicus chromosome 3, whole genome shotgun sequence.
GGGGAUUUAGCUCAGUGGUAGAGCGCUUACCUAGCAAGCACAAGGCCCUGGGUUCGGUCCCCAGCUCCA